GUGAGGAAUAUUGCGCAAUGGAGGCAACUCUGACGCAGCCAUGCCGCGUGCAGGAAGAAGGCGCUACGCGUUGUAAACUGCUUUUAACCGGGAAGAAACCCCAGGACGUGUCCUGGGUUGACGGUACCGGAGGAAUAAGCACCGGCUAACUUCGUGCCAGCAGCCGCGGUAAUACGAAGGGUGCAAGCGUUAUCCGGAUUCAUUGGGUUUAAAGGGUGCGUAGGCGGAGCGUUAAGUCAGUGGUGAAAUCCUGCAGCUUAACUGUAGACUUGCCAUUGAUACUGGCGCUCUUGAGUGCGCUGGAAGUGGGCGGAAUGUGCCGUGUAGCGGUGAAAUGCUUAGAUAUGGCACAGAACACCAAUUGCGAAGGCAGCUCACUAAGGCGAUACUGACGCUGAGGCACGAAAGCGUGGGGAUCGAACAGGAUUAGAUACCCGGGUAGUCC
rnacentral:rRNA from 1 species